rnacentral:rRNA from 1 species
UACGUAGGGAGCAAGCGUUGUCCGGAAUCAUUGGGCGUAAAGCGCGCGUAGGUGGCCUCAUAAGUCCGCUGUGAAAGUCAAAGGCUCAACCUUUGAAAGCCGGUGGAUACUGUGAGGCUAGAGUACGGAAGAGGCGAGUGGAAUUCCUGGUGUAGCGGUGGAAUGCGCAGAUAUCAGGAGGAACACCAAUAGCGAAGGCAGCGCGCUGGGACGUUACUGACACUGAGGCGCGAAAGCGUGGGGAGCGAACAGG